rnacentral:rRNA from 1 species
GGAUCAUUAAAGAGUUUAAUAAAACUCCUAAACCCCUGUGAACUUACUGGUGUUUGGCUCGCCAGAUAUAGUCUGGUCCGUAAGCAAAUCGACUGCCUGCCUGUGUAACAGGCAGGUAAGCUUUUGUCGCGGGGUCCCGGAUCAACCCGGGCUAGAUAGCCACUUAACUAUAUACUUUUUAUAAAAUCUGUGAACUUACUAGGUUGGAUUCUCGCCAGAGAUAGUCUGGUUUCUGCUUCGCGGAUCGCCUACCCGUGACACCUGUCACAGGCAGGUAUGCUUCUGCCGCGGGUCCGUAAGUAAAUCAUCUGUUUCGCAAGGGACGGCGAUUUACCUGUGGAAGAGGUCCUCUAACUAUAUUCUUAGUAUAGUUUGUUCACUAGAUCAAACAUUCUGAAUAAAAACUUAAACUAGUUAAAACUUUCAACAACGGAUCUCUUGGUUCUGGCAUCGAUGAAGAACGCAGCGAAAUGCGAUAAGUAAUGUGAAUUGCAGAAUUCAGUGAAUCAUCGAAUCUUUGAACGCACAUUGCGCCCAUUAGUAUUCUAGUGGGCAUGCCUGUUCGAGCGUCAUUUCAACCCUUAAGCCCCUGUUGCUUAGCGUUGGGAGCCUACAGCCUGCUGUAGCUCCUUAAAGGUAGUGGCGGAGUCGGUUCACACUCUAGACGUAGUAAAAUCUUUAUCUCGCCUAUGGAUGAGCCGGCGCCUUGCCGUAAAACCCCUAAUCUUUCACAAGGUUGACCUCGGAUCAGGUAGGAAUACCCGCUGAACUUAAGCAUAUCAAUAAGCGGAGGAAAAGAAACCAACAGGGAUUGCCCUAGUAACGGCGAGUGAAGCGGCAACAGCUCAAAUUUGAAAUCUGGCCUUCGGGUCCGAGUUGUAAUUUGCAGAGGAUGCUUUGGGCGCGGUGCCUUCCGAGUUCCCUGGAACGGGACGCCUUAGAGGGUGAGAGCCCCGUACGGUUGGACACCAAGCCUCUGUAAAGCUCCUUCGACGAGUCGAGUAGUUUGGGAAUGCUGCUCUAAAUGGGAGGUAAAUUUCUUCUAAAGCUAAAUAUUGGCCAGAGACCGAUAGCGCACAAGUAGAGUGAUCGAAAGAUGAAAAGCACUUUGAAAAGAGGGUUAAAUAGCACGUGAAAUUGUUGAAAGGGAAGCGUUUACGACCAGACCUUUUCGCAGCGGAUCAUCCGGUGUUCUCACCGGUGCACUUCGCUGGGUUGAGGCCAGCAUCGGUUUCCGCAGGGGGAUAAAAGCCUGGGGAACGUAGCUCCCUCGGGAGUGUUAUAGCCCCUCGCAUAAUACCCUUGCGGGGACCGAGGACCGCGCU